rnacentral:rRNA from 1 species
CCUACGGGUGGCUGCAGUGGGGAAUAUUGGACAAUGGGGGCAACCCUGAUCCAGCCAUGCCGCAUGUGUGAAGAAGGCCCUCGGGUUGUAAAGCACUUUCAGUGAGGAAGAACGCCUGGUGGUUAAUACCCAUCAGGAAAGACAUCACUCACAGAAGAAGCACCGGCUAACUCCGUGCCAGCAGCCGCGGUAAUACGGAGGGUGCGAGCGUUAAUCGGAAUUACUGGGCGUAAAGCGCGCGUAGGUGGCUUGAUAAGCCGGUUGUGAAAGCCCCGGGCUCAACCUGGGAACGGCAUCCGGAACUGUCAAGCUAGAGUGCAGGAGAGGAAGGUAGAAUUCCCGGUGUAGCGGUGAAAUGCGUAGAGAUCGGGAGGAAUACCAGUGGCGAAGGCGGCCUUCUGGACUGACACUGACACUGAGGUGCGAAAGCGUGGGUAGCAAACAGGAUUAGAUACCCCAGUAGUC